GUGGGGAAUCUUCCGCAAUGGACGAAAGUCUGACGGAGCAACGCCGCGUGAGUGAAGAAGGUUUUCGGAUCGUAAAGCUCUUUCGUUAGGGACGAACGUGCUCUUUGUGAAUAAUGAGGAGUAAUGACGGUACCUAAAUAAGAAGCCACGGCUAACUACGUGCCAGCAGCCGCGGUAAUACGUAGGUUGCAAGCGUUGUCCGGAAUUAUUGGGCGUAAAGCGCGCGCAGGCGGGAUAGCAAGUCUGUCUUAAAAGUGCGAGGCUCAACCUCGUGAGGGGACAGAAACUGGUAUUCUUGAGUGUCGGAGAGGAAAGUGGAAUUCCAAGUGUAGCGGUGAAAUGCGUAGAGAUUUGGAAGAACACCAGUGGCGAAGGCGACUUUCUGGACGAUGUCUGACGCUGAGGCGCGAAAGCUAGGGGAGCGAACGGGAUUAGAAACCCCGGUAGUCC
rnacentral:rRNA from 1 species